rnacentral:rRNA from 1 species
AUUGAACGCUGGCGGCAGGCCUAACACAUGCAAGUCGAGCGGAUGAAGGGAGCUUGCUCCUGGAUUCAGCGGCGGACGGGUGAGUAAUGCCUAGGAAUCUGCCUGGUAGUGGGGGAUAACGUCCGGAAACGGGCGCUAAUACCGCAUACGUCCUGAGGGAGAAAGUGGGGGAUCUUCGGACCUCACGCUAUCAGAUGAGCCUAGGUCAGAUUAGCUAGUUGGUGGGGUAAAGGCCUACCAAGGCGACGAUCCGUAACUGGUCUGAGAGGAUGAUCAGUCACACUGGAACUGAGACACGGUCCAGACUCCUACGGGAGGCAGCAGUGGGAAUAUUGGACAAUGGGCGAAAGCCUGAUCCAGCCAUGCCGCGUGUGUGAAGAAGGUCUUCGGAUUGUAAAGCACUUUAAGUUGGGAGGAAGGGCAGUAAGUUAAUACCUUGCUGUUUUGACGUUACCAACAGAAUAAGCACCGGCUAACUUCGUG